CUAUAUUUUCCAACAAUAACUUUCAUACCUGCUAAGUUUUUAGCAUGAGAUUAUACAAAGGUCAAUUUCAAACGACCAUAUCUCUCAAAAUAAGAAGAGCUAGGUGGUCUACAACCUAUCAAAUUAAAGUCUGUUUGUCUUAUUUCCAACUCCAUCAAUCCGAGUCCAAAGUAAAAUAUUAUGAUUGAUUUAUCAGGAAAGCUUUGAUCUGGUAGUGUGUGAGGGCCAGAGUGACGGUCCGUCAAAAGAGUGAUGGCCCAUCACAAAUGGGCGUCACACUUGACCAGGAAAAUCAUUUUGGCCAGUUUUGCCAGCCUAAGUGACAAUCUGUCACUCAGACGACGACAUAACCAAAAAUUUUGUCGAUUUUUGCUUUAAAUAAGGGUAUAUUUAUUCUAAAGUUUUUGGAGAGUUAUCUAAAUGGCCUUAAAAUGUGUAGGAGGGUUGGAAAAAUCAGUUUUUCAUCAAUAUAAAACCCUCUCAUUCUCUCCUAAACUUCAACGCUCAAUAAUUCUCAAGAAACACCAAGCUAGGGUUCCUCCUUCAAGGUUCUUUCUUAAGUUUUGUCCCUAAGAUACAAGUGGUCGUUCUUUGCCUCAUGAUUAGAGAGUAGCAGUUCGUAGUUCAACAAUUGUGAUGCAGCUGAAGAGAUGCUUUCGGGCUUUCUUAAGCUAAAGCUUGAUGGAUUCAUAUCGUUAAUCGGACAUGUAAACUGCUGAAAAGGAUAAGGAGCAAGGUAAGAUGCUUGUUUUUCAUCAUAUGUCAUACUUUGUCCAGAAACAUGGAGAUGAACUCCUUGCUAUUGUCAAGCUUAUUGUCUACACUGAUGCCUUUUGGUGUGUGGGUGUUCCGACUAUCGGUUGGGGCUUCCUGAUAAUUGGCUAGCCUUUAUGAAACUUCAUGAUAUUGAUUGGUUAGUGCUUUUUACUCUUCAAAAUGGACAAACUUCACAUUGUAAUGUUCACCUGUUUGACCUCACUGCUAUUAAGUUUGAUUAUCCAUAUAGCAGUCAAGGUAAUGCAAAACUCCGAUGGUGGUGUCAUGCUCUGCGUGGUACUUGCUACCUGCUGAGUGCUAUAGUUGAUUUCUUAUAUUACUUUAUGUAUAUUAGUUUCUAUUUUAAGUCGGGCGACACCUACUCAUUAUCUAUUGCCCUGUACUGUCCCCUACUUGUAUAUUUCUUCGUUCCCUACUUGUAUUUUUCUUCGUUUUCCUUUUGUGGAGUGCCCUCAGGUUCUAGGGUGAGCUAUUAUUCUUAGCUCGUGUUGGAUUCUUUCAGACUUGGUAUUUUAAGAUUAGAUGCCCUUGAUGUGAUGACUUUAAGAUUUUGGGGAAUGUUAUAUAAUAGACUUUAAUGGCUUUUGUUAUUUCCUACUUUCAUAAGUUUGAGCUUCCGCAUUAUUGUUGUAUUUCAUAAGUUGAAUAGUUAAUAUAAGUUGGAUAUUUAAUAUAAGUUGGGGUUUGCAUUCGUUGGUUUGCUCAUCUAGAAGAUUAAGUAGGGUUGCCACUUAUGACCCUUUUUGGGUCGUAACAACUCGAAUCUUGAAGAUAAGGCUCUUUUUGAAGGGCGGAGAAAUGUUAUAAAUCUAGCACGAUGGAGGACCCAUGUUGAAAUAUGUCAAGUUACAUUUGGGACGCUAGGAAGAUGCCUAUAUGUACAUUGAAGAGGGAGGUAAUCUAUUAGCGCAUGCUAAGACUUGUCAAAUAUCUAUAAAUUAGGGCAUGCUAAGAACUCGAAGUGAAGAAAAUGGGUCGGGGAUGGGUUAAACUAGUGGUUUCUAAAGGAAUCGAGUAUGGAAAUUUACAUAAACAUACUACAUUAAGAAAAUAUUUACCAUUUAUAACAAUAAUAUUUUUUUUUACGGAACACUUAUAAUACAAUUUUAAUACAUAUUAGCGAUAAUAAUUU